AUUGAACGCUGACGGCAGGCUUAACACAUGCAAGUCGAACGAGUGGCGGACGGGUGAGUAAUGCUUGGGAAUCUAGCUUAUGGCGGGGGAUAAAUAAUGUAAACGGUAGCUAAUACCGCAUCACAUCAAAUGCGCCCAUAUGGGCUUAGCUGGUAGGUGGGUUAAGGGCUCACCUAGGCGACGAUCUCUAGCUGGUCUGCGAGGAUGACCAGCCACACUGGGACUGAGACACGGACCAGACGCCUACGGGAGGCAUCAGUGGGGAAUAUUGCGCAAUGGGGGCAACCCUGACGCAGCCAUGCCGCGGGAAUGAAGAAGGCCUUCGGGUUGUAAAGUUCUUUCGGUAGCGAGGCGUUAACGACAGAAGAAGCACCGGCUAACUCCGUGCCAGCCGCCGCGGUAAUAC
rnacentral:rRNA from 1 species